GAAUGCUGACAUAAGUAACGAUAAAGCGGGUGAAAAGCCCGCUCGCCGGAAGACCAAGGGUUCCUGUCCAACGUUAAUCGGGGCAGGGUGAGUCGACCCCUAAGGCGAGGCCGAAAGGCGUAGUCGAUGGGAAACAGGUUAAUAUUCCUGUACUUGGUGUUACUGCGAAGGGGGGACGGAGAAGGCUAUGUUGGCCGGGCGACGGUUGUCCCGGUUUAAGCGUGUAGGCUGGUUUUCCAGGCAAAUCCGGAAAACCAAGGCUGAGGCGUGAUGACGAGGCACUACGGUGCUGAAGCGACAAAUGCCCUGCUUCCAGGAAAAGCCUCUAAGCAUCAGGUAACAUCAAAUCGUACCCCAAACCGACACAGGUGGUCAGGUAGAGAAUACCAAGGCGCUUGAGAGAACUCGGGUGAAGGAACUAGGCAAAAUGGUGCCGUAACUUCGGGAGAAGGCACGCUGAUAUGUAGGUGAAGCGACUUGCUCGUGGAGCUGAAAUCAGUCGAAGAUACCAGCUGGCUGCAACUGUUUAUUAAAAACACAGCACUGUGCAAACACGAAAGUGGACGUAUACGGUGUGACGCCUGCCCGGUGCCGGAAGGUUAAUUGAUGGGGUUAGCGGUAACGCGAAGCUCUUGAUCGAAGCCCCGGUAAACGGCGGCCGUAACUAUAACGGUCCUAAGGUAGCGAAAUUCCUUGUCGGGUAAGUUCCGACCUGCACGAAUGGCGUAAUGAUGGCCAGGCUGUCUCCACCCGGGACUCAGUGAAAUUGAACUCGCUGUGAAGAUGCAGUGUACCCGCGGCAAGACGGAAAGACCCCGUGAACCUUUACUAUAGCUUGACACUGAACAUUGAGCCUUGAUGUGUAGGAUAGGUGGGAGGCUUUGAAGUGUGGACGCCAGUCUGCAUGGAGCCGACCUUGAAAUACCACCCUUUAAUGUUUGAUGUUCUAACGUUGGCCCGUAAUCCGGGUUGCGGACAGUGUCUGGUGGGUAGUUUGACUGGGGCGGUCUCCUCCUAAAGAGUAACGGAGGAGCACGAAGGUUGGCUAAUCCUGGUCGGACAUCAGGAGGUUAGUGCAAUGGCAUAAGCCAGCUUGACUGCGAGCGUGACGGCGCGAGCAGGUGCGAAAGCAGGUCAUAGUGAUCCGGUGGUUCUGAAUGGAAGGGCCAUCGCUCAACGGAUAAAAGGUACUCCGGGGAUAACAGGCUGAUACCGCCCAAGAGUUCAUAUCGACGGCGGUGUUUGGCACCUCGAUGUCGGCUCAUCACAUCCUGGGGCUGAAGUAGGUCCCAAGGGUAUGGCUGUUCGCCAUUUAAAGUGGUACGCGAGCUGGGUUUAGAACGUCGUGAGACAGUUCGGUCCCUAUCUGCCGUGGGCGCUGGAGAACUGAGGGGGGCUGCUCCUAGUACGAGAGGACCGGAGUGGACGCAUCACUGGUGUUCGGGUUGUCAUGCCAAUGGCACUGCCCGGUAGCUAAAUGCGGAAGAGAUAAGUGCUGAAAGCAUCUAAGCACGAAACUUGCCCCGAGAUGAGUUCUCCCUGAGACUUAGAGUCUCCUGAAGGAACGUUGAAGACGACGACGUUGAUAGGCCGGGUGUGUAAGCGCAGCGAUGCGUUGAGCUAACCGGUACUAAUGAACCGUGAGGCUUAACCUUACAACGCCGAAG
rnacentral:rRNA from 1 species